rnacentral:rRNA from 1 species
UUUAACUGAAGAGUUUGAUCAUGGCUCAGAUUGAACGCUGGCGGCAGGCUUAACACAUGCAAGUCGAGCGGGGGAAGGUAGCUUGCUACCGGACCUAGCGGCGGACGGGUGAGUAAUGCUUAGGAAUCUGCCUAUUAGUGGGGGACAACAUCUCGAAAGGGAUGCUAAUACCGCAUACGUCCUACGGGAGAAAGCAGGGGAUCUUCGGACCUUGCGCUAAUAGAUGAGCCUAAGUCGGAUUAGCUAGUUGGUGGGGUAAAGGCCUACCAAGGCGACGAUCUGUAGCGGGUCUGAGAGGAUGAUCCGCCACACUGGGACUGAGACACGGCCCAGACUCCUACGGGAGGCAGCAGUGGGGAAUAUUGGACAAUGGGGGGAACCCUGAUCCAGCCAUGCCGCGUGUGUGAAGAAGGCCUUAUGGUUGUAAAGCACUUUAAGCGAGGAGGAGGCUACUUUAGUUAAUACCUAGAGAUAGUGGACGUUACUCGCAGAAUAAGCACCGGCUAACUCUGUGCCAGCAGCCGCGGUAAUACAGAGGGUGCGAGCGUUAAUCGGAUUUACUGGGCGUAAAGCGUGCGUAGGCGGCUUAUUAAGUCGGAUGUGAAAUCCCCGAGCUUAACUUGGGAAUUGCAUUCGAUACUGGUGAGCUAGAGUAUGGGAGAGGAUGGUA